rnacentral:rRNA from 1 species
GACCAACCCCGGGAAACUGGGGCUAAUACCCGAUAGAUGAGGAGGCCUGGAAUGGUUCGUAGUCGAAAAGGCGUUGAAACCACGCUUUUCGACGUCGCCUAAGGAUGGGGCCGCGCCCGAUCAGGUUGUUGGUGGGGUAACGGCUCACCAAGCCUAUAACCGGUACGGGCCGUGAGAGCGGGAGCCCGGAGAUGGGCACUGAGACAAGGGCCCAGGCCCUACGGGGCGCAGCAGUCGCGAAAACUCCGCAAUACGCGAAAGCGUGACGGGGCUACCCCGAGUGCCGUCCGCUGAGGAUGGCUUUUCCCCGGUGUAAUGAGUCGGGGGAAUAAGGAGAGGGCAAGACUGGUGUCAGCCGCCGCGGUAAUACCAGCUCUCCGAGUGGUAGGGAUGAUUAUUGGGCUUAAAGCGUCCGUAGCCGGCUUAGCAAGUCUCCUGUUAAAUUCAGCGACCUAAUCGUUGAGCCGCGGGAGACACUACUAGGCUAGGAGGCGGGAGAGGCCGACGGUAUUCUCGGGGUAGGGGUGAAAUCCUAUAAUCCCGGGAGGACCACCAGUGGCGAAGGCUGUCGGCUAGAACGCGCUCGACGGUGAGGGACGAAAGCUGGGGGAGCGAACCGGAUUAGAUACCCGGGUAGUCCCAGCUGUAAACGAUGCGGGCUAGGUGUUGGGGUGGCUAUGAGCCACUUCAGUGCCGCAGGGAAGCCAUUAAGCCCGCCGCCUGGGGAGU